rnacentral:rRNA from 1 species
UAGAGUUGAUCCUGGCUCAGGAUUAACGCUGGCGGCGUGCCUAACGUAUGCAAGUCGAACGACCCUUCGGGGUCAGUGGCGGAUGGGUGAGUAACACGUAGGAAGCUACCUCCAACUGGGGAAUACCCCCGCGAAAGCAGGGUUAAUACCCCAUAGUCCCUUCGGGGUAAAGAUUUAUCGGUUGGAGAGGCGCCUGCGUCCUAUCAGCUUGUUGGUGGGGUAAUGGCUUACCAAGGCUAUGACGGGUAGGGGCUUUGAGAGGAGAGACCCCCACAAUGGGACUGAGACACGGCCCAUACUCCUACGGGAGGCAGCAACUGGGAAUCUUGCGCAAUGCUCGAAAGAGUGACGCAGCGACGCCGCGUGGACGAAGAAGGCCUUCGGGUUGUAAAGUCCAAAAGCUAGGGAGGAAAUCUUGACUUAACCUAGCUCAAGCCCUGACUAACCACGUGCCAGCAGUCGCGGUGAUACGUGGAGGGCAAGCGUUAUCCGGAAUUAUUGGGCGUAAAGGGCAUCUAGGCGGUCCGAUACGUCUUUUGUCAAAUCCCCAAGCUUAACUUGGGGCUUGCAAAAGAUACGGUCGGACUAGGGGAAGACAGGGGCAGACGGAACUUGCGGUGUAGGGGUGAAAUCCGUUGAUAUCGCAAGGAACACCAAUGGCGAAAGCAGUCUGCUGGGUCUUUUCUGACGCUGAAGUGCGAAAGCGUGGGUAGCGAACGGGAUUAGAUACCCCGGUAGUCCACGCCGUAAACGAUGUCGACUAGAUCUCUGAGAGUAUCGACCCUCUGGGGAUCGAAGCUAACGCGUUAAGUCGAUCGCCUGGGAAGUACGGCCGCAAGGCUAAAACUCAAAGGAAUAGACGGGGACCCGCACAAGCGGUGGAGCGUGAGGUUUAAUUCGACGAUAAGCGAGGAACCUUACCAAGGCUUGACAUCCUCCGAAUCCCAAAGAAAUUUGGGAGUGCCUUCGGGAACGGAGUGACAGGUGCUGCAUGGUUGUCGUCAGCUCGUGUCGUGAGAUGUACCGUUAAGUCGGAUAACGAGCGCAACCCUCAUCUAAAGUUACAAGUGUCUUUAGAAACUGCCCCCGUGAAGGGGGAGGAAGGUGAGGAUGACGUCAAAUCAGCAUGGCUCUUACGCCUUGGGCGACACUCGCGCUACAAUGGGGCCGACAAAGAGUUGCUAAGCCGCGAGGUGGAGCUAAUCUCAAAAACGGCCUCCAAGUUCGGAUUGAAGGCUGCAAUUCGCCUUCAUGAAGCUGGAAUCGCUAGUAACCGUAGAUCAGCCAUGCUACGGUUAAGAGU